rnacentral:rRNA from 1 species
AAGGUUUCCGUAGGUGAACCUGCGGAAGGAUCAUUAUUGAAUGAACUUGGUGUGGUUGUCGCUGGCCCUCUUGGGGGCAUGUGCACACCUACCAUCCUCAUCUCUCCACCUGUGCACCUCUUGUAGAUUUGGAAUUGAUUAUCCGAGGCAACUCGGUCGUGAGGACUGCUAGCACUUAGCUGGCUUUCUUUGCAAUUCCAGGUCUAUGUUUUUCAUAUACCCCAUUGUAUGUAACAGAAUGUAUCAUUGGGCCUUGUGCCUAUAAACCUUAUACAACUUUCAGCAACGGAUCUCUUGGCUCUCGCAUCGAUGAAGAACGCAGCGAAAUGCGAUAAGUAAUGUGAAUUGCAGAAUUCAGUGAAUCAUCGAAUCUUUGAACGCACCUUGCGCUCCUUGGUAUUCCGAGGAGCAUGCCUGUUUGAGUGUCAUUAAAUUCUCAACCAUUAUCAACUUUUGCUGAUAAUGGCUUGGAUGUGGGGGUCUAUUUUGCUGGCUUCUCAGAUAGUCAGCUCCCCUUAAAUGCAUUAGCCGGUGCCCCGCGUGGACUGUCUAUUGGUGUGAUAAUUAUCUACGCUAUAGACAUCUGCAAUCAUAUGGGUUUGCGCUGCUUCUAACAGUCUGUUGAUUCAGACAAUACAUGACAAUUUGACCUCAAAUCAGGUAGGACUACCCGCUGAACUUAA